rnacentral:lncRNA from 10 species
CGCAGGGGAAUUCUUCGGUAAAAUUCCUUCCUCUUACAAAAUCCAGCUCACCCUGCACAGUCAACCUAAUUGUCACCGAAUAUAGGAGAAUGGGGAAACUAGGAUUUGCGUGUUCAAGGGCGGACAAGCCAGUCCAAACAGGCAUUCCAGUCAUUGGGUGGGUGACAGCCAAAGAAGAUCCACCUGGUCACAUCCCAAUUUCCCCAGGGCAUCCGAAGCAGGUCUGAGCAGCCAAGGAUAACUACUUAGUCUCCUGCUAGAAAAUAUCUCAGUGAAACACUCAGCCGGGUUUGGUGGCUC